rnacentral:rRNA from 1 species
CGGCGAGCGAACGGGGAGCAGCCCAGAGCCUGAAUCAGUGUGUGUGUUAGUGGAAGCGUCUGGAAAGGCGCGCGAUACAGGGUGACAGCCCCGUACACAAAAAUGCACAUGCUGUGAGCUCGAUGAGUAGGGCGGGACACGUGGUAUCCUGUCUGAAUAUGGGGGGACCAUCCUCCAAGGCUAAAUACUCCUGACUGACCGAUAGUGAACCAGUACCGUGAGGGAAAGGCGAAAAGAACCCCGGCGAGGGGAGUGAAAAAGAACCUGAAACCGUGUACGUACAAGCAGUGGGAGCACGCUUAGGCGUGUGACUGCGUACCUUUUGUAUAAUGGGUCAGCGACUUAUAUUCUGUAGCAAGGUUAACCGAAUAGGGGAGCCGAAGGGAAACCGAGUCUUAACUGGGCGUUAAGUUGCAGGGUAUAGACCCGAAACCCGGUGAUCUAGCCAUGGGCAGGUUGAAGGUUGGGUAACACUAACUGGAGGACCGAACCGACUAAUGUUGAAAAAUUAGCGGAUGACUUGUGGCUGGGGGUGAAAGGCCAAUCAAACCGGGAGAUAGCUGGUUCUCCCCGAAAGCUAUUUAGGUAGCGCCUCGUGAAUUCAUCUCCGGGGGUAGAGCACUGUUUCGGCAAGGGGGUCAUCCCGACUUACCAACCCGAUGCAAACUGCGAAUACCGGAGAAUGUUAUCACGGGAGACACACGGCGGGUGCUAACGUCCGUCGUGAAGAGGGAAACAACCCAGACCGCCAGCUAAGGUCCCAAAGUCAUGGUUAAGUGGGAAACGAUGUGGGAAGGCCCAGACAGCCAGGAUGUUGGCUUAGAAGCAGCCAUCAUUUAAAGAAAGCGUAAUAGCUCACUGGUCGAGUCGGCCUGCGCGGAAGAUGUAACGGGGCUAAACCAUGCAC